UACGAGAGGCCCAAACGUUAUUCGGAAUUACUGGGCUUAAAGAGUCCGUAGGCGGCGCAGAAAGUAGGGUGUGAAAGCCCUCGGCUUAACCGAGGAAUUGCGCUCUAAACUACUGUGCUUGAGGAACCUAGAGGUGAGCGGAACUGAUGGUGGAGCGGUGAAAUGCGUUGAUAUCAUCAGGAACACCGGAGGCGAAGGCGGCUCACUGGGGGUUAUCUGACGCUGAGGGACGAAAGCCAGGGGAGCGAAC
rnacentral:rRNA from 1 species